rnacentral:rRNA from 1 species
UACGGAGGGGGCGAGCGUUAUUCGGAAUUACUGGGCGUAAAGGGCGCGUAGGCGGCUUGGUCAGUCCCGUGUGAAAUCCCUCGGCUCAACUGAGGAACUGCACGGGAAACUGCCUGGCUUGAGUUCGGGAGAGGGAAGCGGAAUUCCGGGUGUAGCGGUGAAAUGCGUAGAUAUCCGGAGGAACACCGGUGGCGAAGGCGGCUUCCUGGACCGACACUGACGCUGAGGCGCGAAAGCUAGGGGAGCAAACGGG